UCAUCUUCGGGGGUAGAGCACUGUUUCGGCUAGGGGGUCAUCCCGACUUACCAACCCGAUGCAAACUACGAAUACCGAAGAAUGUUAUCACGGGAGACACACGGCGGGUGCUAACGUCCGUCGUGAAGAGGGAAACAACCCAGACCGCCAGCUAAGGUCCCAAAGUCAUGGUUAAGUGGGAAACGAUGUGGGAAGGCACAGACAGCCAGGAUGUUGGCUUAGAAGCAGCCAUCAUUUAAAGAAAGCGUAAUAGCUCACUGGUCGAGUCGGCCUGCGCGGAAGAUGUAACGGGGCUAAACCAUGCACCGAAGCUGCGGCAGCGACACUAUGUGUUGUUGGGUAGGGGAGCGUUCUGUAAGCCUGCGAAGGUGUGCUGUGAGGCAUGCUGGAGGUAUCAGAAGUGCGAAUGCUGACAUAAGUAACGAUAAAGCGGGUGAAAAGCCCGCUCGCCGGAAGACCAAGGGUUCCUGUCCAACGUUAAUCGGGGCAGGGUGAGUCGACCCCUAAGGCGAGGCCGAAAGGCGUAGUCGAUGGGAAACAGGUUAAUAUUCCUGUACUUGGUGUUACUGCGAAGGGGGGACGGAGAAGGCUAUGUUAGCCGGGCGACGGUUGUCCCGGUUUAAGCAUGUAGGCUGGUUAUCCAGGCAAAUCCGGAUAAUCAAGGCUGAGGUGUGAUGACGAGGCACUACGGUGCUGAAGUAACAAAUGCCCUGCUUCCAGGAAAAGCCUCUAAGCAUCAGGUAACAUCAAAUCGUACCCCAAACCGACACAGGUGGUCAGGUAGAGAAUACCAAGGCGCUUGAGAGAACUCGGGUGAAGGAACUA
rnacentral:rRNA from 1 species